AGUUAGCGGCGGACGGGUGAGUAACACGUGGGUAACCUGCCCAUAAGACUGGGAUAACUCCGGGAAACCGGGGCUAAUACCGGAUAACAUUUUGAACUGCAUGGUUCGAAAUUGAAAGGCGGCUUCGGCUGUCACUUAUGGAUGGACCCGCGUCGCAUUAGCUAGUUGGUGAGGUAACGGCUCACCAAGGCAACGAUGCGUAGCCGACCUGAGAGGGUGAUCGGCCACACUGGGACUGAGACACGGCCCAGACUCCUACGGGAGGCAGCAGUAGGGAAUCUUCCGCAAUGGACGAAAGUCUGACGGAGCAACGCCGCGUGAGUGAUGAAGGCUUUCGGGUCGUAAAACUCUGUUGUUAGGGAAGAACAAGUGCUAGUUGAAUAAGCUGGCACCUUGACGGUACCUAACCAGAAAGCCACGGCUAACUACGUGCCAGCAGCCGCGGUAAUACGUAGGUGGCAAGCGUUAUCCGGAAUUAUUGGGCGUAAAGCGCGCGCA
rnacentral:rRNA from 1 species